GUCAAAUUUUGAAGAUAAAUCUUCACUUCUGGCAACACUGCAUAGCGACAGCGAAAUUUCCUUGACUGCAAAUAGCGUCUUAAACAUUAUGAAAACGGGGACAUAUCAAAAAGCUGAUGUGCAAAAGAGCAUUGUUGCCGUACUAAAACCUUUUACUUGAAUGAAAUUUAAACACUUCGUUUAAAGUGAAAUUGUUUGUGCAACAAAUAAAUAAUUGAGCGCUACUUUAGUUGGAUUUACCACAAUAAAAUCUUAUUUGACUACAUUAAUUCUUAAUCGAAUUCAAAUCGAGAUAAAACGAAACUCUACGGGCUGUUGUCUACACUGUAAAUUUGGCUAUGUGCAUUGAUAAAAUAGAAAUCAGUUGAUGAAUUUCAAUCAUUAGAAGAAAUGCGAACUGAGGAACACAAUCAAGUAUAACAGCUGAUCGUUAAGCGAGAAGCCAGCUGUGCCAAAGUCAAUAAUUGGUUUCUCAAUUAUAAUCUUAAUUUACUAAAUUAAUUUGGCUGUGUGAAAAGGCUAUAGUGUUAGACUUGUUAGAGCUUUGUAUCAUUUUACAGUUCACAUAUUACUUUAACCACUACAGCUGCCUAUUGUCGUCGGCAAAAUUAGAAAUAGUUUAAAUUCGGGUACAGCGACAACUGCAAGCUUGCUGCCGCGAAAUCGUGCUGAUGUCUAAAUAACUGUGCCCAUAAGAACGUUUGUAUUUCAAUAUUUCACAGAUGCCGAUUGUCGUCUGCCUGCGUGGACUAGAAACGCCGCAAUUUGAAGUAGUUAAUGCGGAAAAAACAAGGUUGAUGAGUGAACAUCCCUUACCCAUGUUAGAAAUGAAAUCUUAAAAUAAAUUUUGGCUGGAAAAGGCAUUUAAAGAAAUAUAUUAUGCAUUGUUACAUUUACUUUAAACACAAUAAAUGAUAUUAAUUAAUUAUAAACUAAAAUAAAUAGCGAUUUCGAUUAACUUUCUUCUUCCAUUAUAAAUUUUGCUGAUGCCGUUUUAGUCAGUUUUGUGCUUAAGAAAUGUCGAAUUUUGAGUUGAUCGAACGCUUGACAUUUUCAAAUGUUGCAACAUUUUUACGUCGAAUGUGAUGCUUUGCUAUAUUGCCGUAGUGAUUGAGAACAUCCCCUAUAACACCUGUUUUGCAGAAGACUACAGGAUAUAUAUACAGUAUCUGACAAAACUGUGGCUACCUAUUCGAAAAGUGUCAAAAUAAUUUAACAUACAAACUUUGUUGCAAAUACCAAAACGAAAUGAUAGAGUAAAUGGCAAAUCUAAACAACCGAAAUCUCUAUGGAAGAAAUC